rnacentral:rRNA from 1 species
CCAAAGCGGAGGAAAAGAAACCAACAGGGAUUGCCCUAGUAACGGCGAGUGAAGCGGCAACAGCUCAAAUUUGAAAUCUGGCUCUCGGGCCCGAGUUGUAAUUUGUAGAGGAUGCUUUUGAUGCGGUGCCUUCCGAGUUCCCUGGAACGGGACGCCAUAGAGGGUGAGAGCCCCGUCUGGUUGGAUGCCAAAUCUCUGUAAAGCUCCUUCGACGAGUCGAGUAGUUUGGGAAUGCUGCUCUAAAUGGGAGGUAUAUGUCUUCUAAAGCUAAAUACCGGCCAGAGACCGAUAGCGCACAAGUAGAGUGAUCGAAAGAUGAAAAGCACUUUGAAAAGAGAGUUAAAAAGUACGUGAAAUUGUUGAAAGGGAAGCGUUUAUGACCAGACUUGGGCUUGGUUAAUCAUCUGGGGUUCUCCCCAGUGCACUUUUCCAGUCCAGGCCAGCAUCAGUUUUCGCCGGGGGAUAAAGGCUUCGGGAAUGUGGCUCUCUCCGGGGAGUGUUAUAGCCCGUUGCGUAAUACCCUGGCGGGGACUGAGGUUCGCGCAUCUGCAAGGAUGCUGGCGUAAUGGUCAUCAACGACCCGUCUUGAACCC